AAAGAAGGUUCAUAAAUAAAUAAUUCAAAAAUAUAUAUAGUAAAUAUUUUGCCCUAGAAAAGGUAGUGCCAAAAAAGAAGAAAAAAAAAAUAAUAAAAAAAACUAUGGAUAUAUUUCCUAGAACGAAUGCAAAGUUGUGCCCAAAGUAUUAUUAAUUGUGUGUGUUUCCAGUUUGUACUUUUCUUGGUAUCUGUUAUCGGGGGCAGCUGAUAAGAAAACCCUCUCCCCACCUCGUAAAUACCACCUCGUGCUGUUGACACAGACACGCCACCACCAGAGGAUAGGAGAGGAGAGGAGCAAAGCCCAAUGUCUGAACUAGUUUCUAAUCAAACGAACGGCACGAAUGAAUUCCCUUCGAUUCCACUGAUGAUUCAGUUCUACACAAACAUUGGUUGCCUCUUCAAUUUGGUAAGAAGCAGCAGUUCUAGCCAAGAUCGCACCCUCCCUCUCUUAAGGUUCUUCUGGAGGAACAUUCAUCAGAAUCAGCAUAUCGUAUGUGAAGUGCUCCCCCUGAUUAUGUUUAGUACCGAGAAAUAUACAUAGGAGGUAUCCGUAUAAAUGCCUUAAGUCUGUUUGCAGCUUAUCACGUUCCAGCAGCAGCAGCAGCCUCCAGUCGCCAGCAUGCUCAUAUAAGGCAGGCCAGUAAACGCAUAAAACAUAAUGAAAAGUGUGUUUGGAGCUCAAGAGCAGCUUGUUUUUUGUGGCUGAAAAGGAUUGACUGAGUGUAUGCCCAAAA